rnacentral:rRNA from 1 species
UACGGAGGGUGCAAGCGUUGUCCGGAUUUAUUGGGUUUAAAGGGUGCGUAGGCGGCUUUUUAAGUCAGCGGUGAAAGACCAGGGCUCAACCCUGGAACUGCCAUUGAUACUGAAAAGCUUGAGUAAAGUUGAGGUAGGCGGAAUUGACGGUGUAGCGGUGAAAUGCUUAGAUAUCGUCAAGAACACCGAUUGCGUAGGCAGCUUACUAAGCUUUAACUGACGCUGAGGCACGAAAGUGUGGGGAUCAAACAGG